CAUACAUAUAUCUUGAAGUUUGUAAAAAUGAUGCUUGCUUUCUCCUUCUCACAUUUACUGUGAUUGGAAGAACAGCAUUUUUCUAAAUGGAAAAGUUCAAGAGGCAUAUUUAAUGAAAGGAACAAUAGCUCAAUUAAGUGCAAUACAGAGAAAUGACUACUUAAUAUAAAUAAAUGAAACCAGAUUUCAUUUGCAUUUCAGACAUCAGCAUGAAGCAUUACUUUCUGAAUUGGUUUUAUUGAAAACUGCCAGGAGCAAUUUUUCAAUGAAGUAUAUUACUCUGACAGCCUCUAUUUCCUGUGGCACCUUCUCCAAAUCUUAAUAGUAUGAGACACAUAUCCCCUGACCUACAAUGACACUUCUUUUCAGCAGCUUUGCUGUAUGAAUUCUACAAAGUCUCUAUUUCCUGUCAUGAAGAGCACUGAAGUCAUGGCUUGCUUAGUUUACUGGUCAGCUAAAGAACAUAUUGAUGCUCUGAAAGAUGACUCCAGGAGAGUUUGAGGAGGCAAACACCGUCUACACAGUACUACAAGGUAAGUUUUAGAAAUUGUGCAGGUUUGGUGCCUAUGUCCCCAGAACCAGAAAUCGUAAUCACUGCAUGGCAGAAAGAACAAUCAGCUGGUAAUAGGGAGUUACUAAGCAGACAAAGACAAUAUUGCUAAGGACAGCCUUGUGACAAUAAUAACAGGAUCAGCCCCAGUAAUUAGGCAGUUUGUAGCAGUUGAUAGGAAAAGACAAAGAGUUAUCUGUGAUUAACCUACAUACCCAG
rnacentral:lncRNA from 13 species